rnacentral:lncRNA from 1 species
CUCUUUCUAAUGAAUCCUUCAUAUAUCCUAAUGCACAGACCAAGACCAGCAGAAAAGAAAGAAACUUAUCAAAGCAGUUGAGAAAUGCAUGGAAGAAAUGCCAUGGAUAGUUUCUGCGCCCCUAUAUCAUUCCAGGAAGGUUUCUAGUAAGAAACAUAAUUGGCUACAGAACAGCCAAAAUGUUACUUCAAGUGGAAAUAUGACAUCCUUUAGAGAAAGAGAAGUAUACACACCUAAAUAUUUCAAGAAGACACUUUCAAGUGGACAAUCCCCAGUUCUAAGUGCAGAAGAGAUUAUCCAAGAUAUUGUUGCCCAGUCUUUAUUUCAGACACGAAAGGAUAGCAGUGGUGCACCCCAACNACGUCCUUUACCACUCACCAAAUCUUAUCUCUCAGUUCUGAGCAGCAGAAAAAAGGACAAAACUUACAGAGAAGAUUUGCUUGAUAAACAUGCAGAGUGGUUUACAGAAGCAAAACAGCCUUUUACUCCAAAAGUUUUAAAGACAGCACGCAAGUCCUUCCUUUCAACAUACAGGUAUUAUAAUAAUCCACACCAUAAGAAAAGCCUCUUACUGGAUCAACCAUCAGACAAACAGCCAAAAAGACUUCACAGGUCUUUGGAAGAUGAAUGUGGAGGAUCUUAUGCAGAUUACUGUUUGUCGCAUCCAGUCAAGAAACACCAGAGAACCAUUUCCCUACAAUCACUGAUUCAGGCAAAAGAUGAAGAGUUGAAAUACCUUUGGUUUCUUCAGGAGGUCACAAAUGACAUUUUAAGUAGAACCUGUUGCUGUAAGCAGGCAUUAGCUGAUAUCUUUCAGAUGCAUAUUAGAAGAAGAAAACAUGACCUUGAUGGGGUGAGCAAAAAUAAUUGCUGUAAAUGUG